rnacentral:rRNA from 1 species
GACGAACGCUGGCGGCAGGCUUAACACAUGCAAGUCGAACGAAGUCUUCGGACUUAGUGGCGGACGGGUGAGUAACACGUGGGAACGUGCCUUUAGGUUCGGAAUAACUCAGGGAAACUUGUGCUAAUACCGAAUGUGCCCUUCGGGGGAAAGAUUUAUCGCCUUUAGAGCGGCCCGCGUCUGAUUAGCUAGUUGGUGAGGUAAAGGCUCACCAAGGCUACGAUCAGUAGCUGGUCUGAGAGGAUGACCAGCCACAUUGGGACUGAGACACGGCCCAAACUCCUACGGGAGGCAGCAGUGGGAAUCUUGCGCAAUGGGCGAAAGCCUGACGCAGCCAUGCCGCGUGGAUGAUGAAGGUCUUAGGAUUGUAAAAUCCUUUCACCGGUGAAGAUAAUGACUGUAGCCGGAGAAGAAGCCCCGGCUAACUUCGUGCCAGCAGCCGCCGUAAGAC